rnacentral:rRNA from 1 species
GACGAACGCUGGCGGCGUGCCUAACACAUGCAAGUCGAACGGAAAGGCCCUGCUUUUGUGGGGUGCUCGAGGGGCGAACGGGUGAGUAACACGUGAGUAACCUGCCCCUCACUUUGGGAUAACUUCAGGAAACUGGGGCUAAUACCGGAUAGGAGCUCCCGCUGCAUGGUGGGGGCUGGAAAGUUUCGACGGUUGGGGAUGGACUCGCGGCUUAUCGGCUUGUUGGUUGGGUAGUGGCUUACCAAGGCAUUGACAGGUAGCCGGCCUGGGCGGGGGAGCUGCCACAUUGCGACGGGGAUGAGGCACAGACUCGUACGGGAGGCAGAGGUGGAGAGGAGGACACAGUGGGCGGGAGCCUGACGCGACAACGCCACGUGGGGUAUGACAUGCUUCGGGUUGUAAACCGCUUUCGCCUGAGACGAAGCGUGAGUGACGGUAACGGGAGAAGAAGCACCGGCUAACUACGUG